GACGUAGGAUGCAAGCGUUGUCCGGAUUUAUUGGGCGUAAAGAGUUCGUAGGCGGCGGUGCAAGUCGGAUGUGAAAGCCCUGGGCUCAACCCAGGAAGUGCAUCUGAUACUGCAUUGCUUGAAUCCCGGAGAGGGUGGUGGAAUUCCUGGUGUAGAGGUGAAAUUCGUAGAUAUCAGGAGGAACACCGGUGGCGAAGGCGACCACCUGGACGGAGAUUGACGCUGAGGCGCGAAAGCGUGGGGAGCAAACAGG
rnacentral:rRNA from 1 species